GACGAACGCUGGCGGCGUGCUUAACACAUGCAAGUCGAACGGAGUGGCGAACGGGUGAGUAACACGUGGGUGAACUGCCUUGCACUUCGGGAUAAGCUUGGGAAACGGGGUCUAAUACCGGAUAGUGCAAGAUGAGCUCGCGGCCUAUCCGAUUGUUGGUGGGGUAAUGGCCUACCAAGGCGUCGACGGGUAGCCGGCCUGUGAGGGUGUACGGCCACAUUGGGACUUAGGUACGGACCAGACUCCAACGGGAGGCAGCAGUGGAGAAUAUUGCACAAUGGGCGGACGCCGGAGGCAGCGACGCCGCGUGGGGGAUGAAGGCCUUCGGGUUGUAAACUCCUUUCGACAGGGACGCGGUACCUGUAUAAGAAGCACCGGCUAACUACGUGCCAGCAGCCGCGGUAAUAC
rnacentral:rRNA from 1 species